rnacentral:rRNA from 1 species
GCCAAGGAGUCUAACAUGUGCGCAAGUCAUUGGGUGUUAAAACCUAAAGGCAAAACAAAAAUGAAAAAAGCUUAAGCUUUAUUAGGGAGGAUGACUAUUUAACUUAAUACUAGUGGUAGUCCGCACUCCCGGGGCGUCUAUUACUCAUUGCGAGUAAAGGCGCACCAAGAGCGUACACGUUGGGACCCGAAAGAUGGUGAACUAUGCCUGGCCAGGAUGAAGCCAGGGGAAACCCUGGUGGAGGUCCGCAGCGAUUCUGACGUGCAAAUCGAUCGUCUGAGCUAGGUAUAGGGGCGAUAGACUUAUCGAACUAUCUAGUAGCUGGUUCCCUCCGAAGUUUCCCUCAGGAUAGCUGGUGCCGAUGAUGAUGAAUGAGUCUCAUCCGGUAAAGCGAAUGAUUAGAGGCCUUGGGGCCGAAACGACCUCAACCUAUUCUCAAACUUUAAAUGGAUGAGAGCUUUGGCUUGCUAAAAA